CGCAUCUGUGCAUGCAGCAUAUCAAUAAGCGGAGGAAAAGAAACUAACAAGGAUUCCCCUAGUAACGGCGAGUGAAGCGGGAAGAGCUCAAAUUUGAAAUCUUAAAGGGUUUCCCUUUACGAAUUGUAGUUUAAAGAAGUGUUUUCUGUUGAGGUUUUGGUAAAAGUUCUUUGGAAUAGGACAUCAUAGAGGGUGAGAAUCCCGUAUUUGACCUUUACUUUCAACUUUGUGAUACACUUUCAAAGAGUCGGAUUGUUUGGGAAUGCAGUCCAAAAUGGGUGGUAAAUUUCAUCUAAAGCUAAAUAUUGGCGAGAGACCGAUAGCGAACAAGUACCGUGAGGGAAAGAUGAAAAGAACUUUGAAAAGAGAGUUAAACAGUACGUGAAAUUGUCAAAAGGGAAGCGUUUGGACACCAGUGUUGUUUUUCUGAAAAUCAAUUAAAGAACUGUUUAUGCUAAGCUUGUUUAGACUUUAUCAGCUAUCUGUUUAGUUUUGAGCUUUUCUUUAAUGCACUUUUCAGUUAACAAGUCAACAUCAAUUUCUUUUGCUGUAAAAAAGCUUGAGGAAGGUGGCUUGAGAUUCGUCUUAAGUGUUUAUAGCCUCUUGCCUAUGCAGUCGGAGAGAUUGAGGUCUGCAGCGUAGAUCCUUCGGGGCUAAAUGCAUUUGUGCUAAGUUAUAGCAUUUUAUAGACAACUUGUUGACUAUGAUUUGUCUUGUAGCUUACUCGCUUAUGUUAUUUUACCUACGCUUAGGAUGUUGAAUCUGUGCGAGACUAC
rnacentral:rRNA from 1 species